UCUGGUUGAUCCUGCCAGUAGUCAUAUGCUUGUCUCAAAGAUUAAGCCAUGCAUGUCUAAGUACAAACCUUAAUACGGUGAAACCGCGAAUGGCUCAUUAAAUCAGCUAUGGUUCCUUAGAUCGUCUCAUCCUACUCGGAUAACUGUGGAAAAUCUAGAGCUAAUACGUGCUUACAAGCCCUGACCUCACGGGAGGGGCGCAUUUAUUAGAUCAAAACCAAUCGGGGCUUGCCCCGUCUGCUUGGUGACUCUGGAUAACUUUUGUGCUGAUCGCAUGGCCUCUGCGCUGGCGACGUAUCUUUCAAGUGUCUGCCCUAUCAACUUACGAUGGUAGGUGAUAUGCCUACCAUGGUUAUAACGGGUAACGGGGAAUCAGGGUUCGAUUCCGGAGAGGGAGCCUGAGAAACGGCUACCACAUCUAAGGAAGGCAGCAGGCGCGCAAAUUACCCACUCCCGGCACGGGGAGGUAGUGACGAAAAAUAACGAUACGGGACUCUUUUGAGGCCCCGUAAUUGGAAUGAGUACACUUUAAAUCCGUUAACAAGUAUCUAUUGGAGGGCAAGUCUGGUGCCAGCAGCCGCGGUAAUUCCAGCUCCAAUAGCGUAUAUUAAUGUUGCUGCAGUUAAAAAGCUCGUAGUUGGAUCUGAGGACUCGAAUUGGUGGUGCACCAUACGGGUGUUACUGCCGAUUCGGCCUACCUAGUCGGUGCUCGCUCUUGGUGUUCUUAAUUGAAUGCCCUGAGUGCCCGGCAAGUUUACUUUGAAAAAAUUAGAGUGCUCAAAGCAGGCCAUUAGCCGGAAUACUUCAGCAUGGAAUAAUGGAAUAGGACUUCGGUUCUAUUUUGUUGGUUUUCGGAACCCGAGGUAAUGAUUAAGAGAGACAGACGGGGGCAUUCGUACUGCGGUGUUAGAGGUGAAAUUCUUGGAUCGCCGCAAGACGAACAACUGCGAAAGCAUUUGCCAAGAAUGUUUUCAUUAAUCAAGAACGAAAGUCAGAGGUUCGAAGACGAUCAGAUACCGUCCUAGUUCUGACCAUAAACGAUGCCAACUGGCGAUCCGAGAUCGUUUGCUUAUUGACCUCUCGGGCAGCCUCCGGGAAACCAAAGUUUUUAGGUUCCGGGGGAAGUAUGGUUGCAAAGCUGGGUUCAAUUGAUUGUACACCAAGUGGUCGGUUACUUCCUGGCCCGGAGUUGGUGUUGUGCUCUUUCCUUACCCACCCGAAGGCGGGGCUGGAAGUGCCCAAGCCAAAUGGGUCCUCUGUCCAUCCUGGUAACUGCACUCCUCGCUUGGGAGGAGCGAGGAUAAUAUAAACCCGAUUGGAGUCAGGUGACGGCUGUAAGUCAUAAAUUAGUUCCCCACGAGGGGAGGUUAAUUGAAGCCUCGUGCCCUUACUAGUUUAAGGGAUUGUAUACUUCCUUUGGUGUACCCACCUGACGCCUAUCCCUGCACUCCAUCCCCGAUUGGAGUCAGGUGACGGCUCCUUACCCCGGCGGCCGGACCCCGGAGGGGUCUGGGCCCCGAAGCCUGACGGCGUCGGGGUGCAGGAAGCCUCUAGGCGACCAGCCCAGCCGUGCAGAAAUGCAGUAGGCCUUUAUCUGGCUAUUAACGGUAAACUCACCGGGCCAGUGUCUGAC
rnacentral:rRNA from 1 species